rnacentral:rRNA from 1 species
CACGUAGGGCGCGAGCGUUGUCCGGAAUUAUUGGGCGUAAAGAGCUCGUAGGCGGCCUGUUGCGUCCGCUGUGAAAGCCCGGGGCUUAACCCCGGGUCGGCAGUGGAUACGGGCAGGCUAGAGGUAGGUAGGGGAGAAUGGAAUUCCUGGUGUAGCGGUGGAAUGCGCAGAUAUCAGGAGGAACACCGGUGGCGAAGGCGGGUCUCUGGGCCGAUACUGACACUGAGAAGCGAAAGCGUGGGGAGCGAACAGG